AGCUAGCUGAGGUGGCCAACGACAAAGGGAAAGCAACCCUAGUUGCUGUCCUCAUUUCCAGCAGCCACAUUAGAAGAUACGAGCUCGAGUGGAGCGCGGUGACCUGCCGACACCCGCAGAUUUUGCUGUAUAUAAGUUUUGCAGACACAGGGA